rnacentral:rRNA from 1 species
ACGGGAGGCAGCAGUGGGGGAUAUUGCACAAUGGAGGAAACUCUGAUGCAGCAACGCCGCGUGAGGGAAGAAGGUUUUCGGAUUGUAAACCUCUGUUUUUAGUGAAGAAACAAAUGACGGUAGCUAAAGAGGAAGCCACGGCUAACUACGUGCCAGCAGCCGCGGUAAUACGUAGGUGGCAAGCGUUGUCCGGAAUGAUUGGGCGUAAAGGGCGCGUAGGCGGCUCGUUAAGUCUGGAGUGAAAGUCCUGCUUUUAAGGUGGGAAUUGCUUUGGAUACUGACGGGCUUGAGUGCAGGAGAGGUAAGUGGAAUUCCCAGUGUAGCGGUGAAAUGCGUAGAGAUUGGGAGGAACACCAGUGGCGAAGGCGACUUACUGGACUGUAACUGACGCUGAGGCGCGAAAGUGUGGGGAGCAAACAGGAUUAGAUACCCUGGUA